AUUGAACGCUAGCGGGAUGCUUUACACAUGCAAGUCGAACGAAUGGCGGACGGGUGAGUAAUCUAUCGGAACGUGCCCAGUAGCGGGGGAUAACUACUCGAAAGAGUGGCUAAUACCGCAUACUCUUGGAGCGGCCGACAUUGAUUUAGCGCGUUGGUGGGGUAAAGGCUCACCAAGGCAACGAUCCGUAGCUGGUUUGAGAGGACGACCAGCCACACUGGGACUUGUACACGGCCCAGUCUCCUACGGGAGGCAGCAGUGGGGAAUUUUGGACAAUGGGGGAAACCCUGAUCCAGCCAUCCCGCGUGUAUGAGAAGGCCUUCGGGUUGUAAAGUACUUUUGGCAGAGAAGCGGUAUCUGCAGAAUAAGCACCGGCUAACUACGUGCCAGCCGCCGCGGUAAUUC
rnacentral:rRNA from 1 species